rnacentral:rRNA from 1 species
GACGAACGUUGGCGGCGUGCUUAACACAUGCAAGUCGAACGGAAAGGCCCUGCUUUUGUGGGGUGCUCGAGUGGCGAACGGGUGAGUAACACGUGAGUAACCUGCCCUUGACUUUGGGAUAACUUCAGGAAACUGGGGCUAAUACCGGAUAGGAGCUCCUGCUGCAUGGUGGGGGUUGGAAAGUUUCGGCGGUUGGGGAUGGACUCGCGGCUUAUCAGCUUGUUGGUGGGGUAGUGGCUUACCAAGGCUUUGACGGGUAGCCGGCCUGAGAGGGUGACCGGCCACAUUGGGACUGAGAUACGGCCCAGACUCCUACGGGAGGCAGCAGUGGGGAAUAUUGCACAAUGGGCGGAAGCCUGAUGCAGCAACGCCGCGUGCGGGAUGACGGCCUUCGGGUUGUAAACCGCUUUCGCCUGUGACGAAGCGUGAGUGACGGUAAUGGGUAAAGAAGCACCGGCUAACUACGUGCCAGCAGCCGCGGUGAUACGUAGGGUGCGAGCGUUGUCCGGAUUUAUUGGGCGUAAAGGGCUCGUAGGUGGUUGAUCGCGUCGGAAGUGUAAUCUUGGGGCUUAACCCUGAGCGUGCUUUCGAUACGGGUUGACUUGAGGAAGGUAGGGGAGAAUGGAAUUCCUGGCGGAGCGGUGGAAUGCGCAGAUAUCAGGAGGAACACCAGUGGCGAAGGCGGUUCUCUGGGCCUUUCCUGACGCUGAGGAGCGAAAGCGUGGGGAGCGAACAGGCUUAGAUACCCUGGUAGUCCACGCUGUAAACGGUGGGUACUAGGUGUGGGGUCCAUUCCACGGGUUCCGUGCCGUAGCUAACGCUUUAAGUACCCCGCCUGGGGAGUACGGCCGCAAGGCUAAAACUCAAAGGAAUUGACGGGGCCCCGCACAAGCGGCGGAGCAUGCGGAUUAAUUCGAUGCAACGCGUAGAACCUUACCUGGGUUUGACAUGGAUCGGGAGUGCUCAGAGAUGGGUGUGCCUCUUUUGGGGUCGGUUCACAGGUGGUGCAUGCCUGUCGUCAGCUCGUGUCGUGAGAUGUUGGGUUAAGUCCCGCAACGAGCGCAACCCUUGUUCACUGUUGCCAGCACGUUAUGGUGGGGACUCAGUGGAGACCGCCGGGGUCAACUCGGAGGAAGGUGGGGAUGACGUCAAGUCCUCAUGCCCCUUAUGUCCAGGGCUUCACGCAUGCUACAAUGGCUGGUACAGAGAGUGGCGAGCCUGUGAGGGUGAGCGAAUCUCGGAAAGCCGGUCUCAGUUCGGAUUGGGGUCUGCAACUCGACCUCAUGAAGUCGGAGUCGCUAGUAAUCGCAGAUCAGCAACGCUGCGGUGAAUACGUUCCCGGG